UAGGGAAUCUUCGGCAAUGGGGGGAACCCUGACCGAGCAACGCCGCGUGAGUGAAGAAGGUUUUCGGAUCGUAAAGCUCUGUUGUUAAGGAAGAACGAGUGUGAGAAUGGAAAGUUCAUGCUGUGACGGUACUUAACCAGAAAGGGACGGCUAACUACGUGCCAGCAGCCGCGGUAAUACGUAGGUCCCGAGCGUUGUCCGGAUUUAUUGGGCGUAAAGCGAGCGCAGGCGGUUAGAAAAGUCUGAAGUGAAAGGCAGUGGCUCAACCAUUGUAGGCUUUGGAAACUGUUUAACUUGAGUGCAGAAGGGGAGGGUGGAAUUCCAUGUGUAGCGGUGAAAUGCGUAGAUAUAUGGAGGAACACCGGUGGCGAAAGCGGCUCUCUGGUCUGUAACUGACGCGGAGGCUCGAAAGCGUGGGGAGCAAACAGG
rnacentral:rRNA from 1 species